rnacentral:tRNA from 1 species
UACAUCGUGUGGGGGUUAAUCCAGUUGCCUUGAUGUGGCUAAGUCAAGAGUGAAAAUCUCUUCGAUGUGU